rnacentral:rRNA from 1 species
AUGCUUACUCAUAAUGAUAAGGGCAGUAGGUUGAUCAUCACAACAAGAGAAGGCGCUGUUGCUGCACAUGCCUCUCGAGGACAUACCAUAACACUGGAAGCUUUACCAGAAGACAAGGCAUGGGAUCUAUUUUGUAAGAAAGCCUUUCCAAGAGAAACAAAUCAUGAAUGUCAUGCAGAGUUGAAGCCUUUGUCUGAAGAAAUAGUUAGCAAGUGCAAAGGCUUGCCUCUUGCUGUUGUGUCCGUUGGUAGCCUCUUGUGUGUGUGUGAGAAAACCAUGGAAGAAUGGAGAAGAGUAAAUAACCAAUUGAGUUGGGAGAUAAAUAAUAAUUCGAGGCUUGGCCACAUAAGGAAUGUUUUGUAUCUGAGCUUCAUCUACCUUCCAACACACUUGAAGAGUUGUUUCCUAUACUGCAGCUUAUUUCCAGAAGACUAUGUUUUUACAAGGAAAAAGCUUGUACGGUUAUUGACAGCAGAGGGGUUCGUCAAGGAGAGGGGUAGAAACACAUUGGAGGAAGUUGCAGAAGGCUAUUUAAAGGAGUUGAUCGACAGAAAUAUGCUACAACUUGUUGAGAGGAACUCAUUUGGUAGGAUGAAGAAAUUCAAAAUGCACGAUAUCUUGCGUGAGUUGGCAGUGGAGUUGUGCCAGAAGAACUGUUUUGGUGUUGCUUAUGGUGGUGAACGCGAGGGCACUCUUGAGAUGGAUGGACGCCGAUUAGUACUCCACAAACUAAUGACGGAUAAUCCUGAGCCAGUUUAUGGUAUACACCAACUUCGUACUUUCAUUACACUAGACAAUAGCAUGCCAUCAUUCACUCUACUACCUCUGCUAUGUAAGGAGUCAAGAUAUCUGACGGUGUUAGAAUUAAGUGGUUUACCCAUCGAGAAGGUUCCAGAUGCUAUUGGAGAUCUUUUUAAUCUCCGCCAUUUGGGUUUGCGUGAUUCAAAAGUGAAGAUGCUCCCGCGGUCUGUCGAGAAGCUUUCAAAUUUGUUGACACUGGACCUUUCAGGAUCUGAUAUACAUGGGUUGCCUAGUGGGAUUGUGAAACUGAAGAAGCUUAGGCACUUAUUUGCAGAGAGACAUAUAAAAGGUUUUAGACAGCUUGCAUAUUGCAGUGGGGUGCAUAUCCCCAAAGGUCUUGGAAAUCUAAUAAACCUGCAGACACUACAAGCAUUGGAAGCACAUGAUGAUUCUCUUAGACUUUUAGGGGAGUUGAGGCAACUAAGAAGCUUGAGGUUAUUGAAUGUGAAGGGAAUCUACUGUGGAUGCAUCAGUGAGUCUCUAGCUCGGAUGCAGUAUUUGUCCUUCCUAGAUGUAAAUGCAAGUGAUGAGAAUGAGGUUCUCCAGUUGAAUGUUCUCCUGCCAAACCUGCAAAAGCUAACUUUGAGAGGACGACUAGCCGAAGGGGCGUUGGACGAGUCUCCUUUGUUCCAAGCUGUUGGCGGCCAGAACUUGUAUGAAUUGUCUCUAUUCUGGUCACAGCUGAGAGAGGACCCCCUGCCAUCCCUUUCCCGGUUGUCAAACUUGACUUAUCUACAAUUCACCAGAGCAUACAGGGGAGAGCAGCUGGCAUUUCUCACGGGGUGGUUUCCCAAGCUAAAGAUUCUCUCCCUAAGAGACCUGCCUAAUCUGAAUCGGCUAGAGAUACAGUAUUGCGCCAUGGCUAGCCUGGAAAAUUUAUUCUUAACCAACCUCAGCAGCAUGACGGAGGUGCCAGCUGGCAUUGAGUUCCUCACUUCCAUCAAGUAUCUAGGCUUUCACCAGAUCAGCAGGGACUUCUUGCCAUCCCUGCGCCAGUGUUCUGCAAUUCAAGGCAUAAUGUCACGGGUGGGGUGUUCCCUCCGAGAUUGA